rfam:Gossypium arboreum cultivar AKA8401 contig_64218_1, whole genome shotgun sequence.
AACCCAUGGUGAGAGCACCUUCUCAAUAAAUCCUUAUACCUCUCCCAUGUAUCAUAUAACAUCUCUAAAUUGAUUUGUACAAAGGAAGACAUAUCGUUCCUCAACUU